CCUUGAGUAGACGUGGCAGACAGAAAUCUAAACAUCACCCAAAGCAGUGAAGUCCCAGGCAUUAAUCUUCAACAAAUAUUUAUUGAAAUCUGGCAGUCCAGACAUGCUUAUUCCAGGAGAAGCUGACAAGUAAAAGAGGGAGAAAGAGAGACAGGCAUGCGACCAAGCACAGUUUAUUUUCACAAGCUGCAUGCUAGCGAACAAAGACCUAGGAGAGCACAUCAAAAAAGGCAAUAUGUUCUGGCUGGGGGCUUGGAGCAGUCUGGAAGAACUCACAGAAGUGAUGACAUUCAAAGAAGGCCUGAGGAAGUAAAGAAAUUCACCGGGCAGAGAAAGAAGGGAAGGACAUUUUACAUCAGAGUGGGAACAGCACGAGCAUAUCAUGGCAGCGAAGAGCAUAUGGCACUUUUAUGAUAGAACGUAAGAUGCAGAGGUGGGAAGGUGGCAGAGGACAUUCAAAAGUGACGUUGCAGUCAUAUUCUGAGGGAUCUGACAGAUGAGCUGUUAAGAAAUAUGGACUCUGUUCUAUCAGUAUUAUGAAAUCAUUGAAUCAUUCAUUCAUUGAAAUGGUAUUUUCGGAGGACUUACUAUGUGCUAAGUACUGUGUCAGCCUCUGAAGAUUAAAAUAAAAAGGAAGGCCCUCCAGGGACUCACAGUCUGGUAGGGAGAAAGGCAGGCAAACAGUCACAGUACGGGGGCCAGAGUGUUCAUGAACGCAGUCUCAGGUCUGAAGGAGAGCUCUGUGCUAGAAUAAAACAAAAUCACCCAGUAGAUCAGAAUCUACUCACGAAUGCUCCACGUGGCUAAUGCUGCUUGCUGGUUUCCGUUGCUCUCGUCAGCUUUGGACCCUCCCCCUGUACUGUUGGCGAGAGUUCUUGGGGGGUUUCGGGGACAUUGUAGCUGGCAGUAGUGUUCAUGCCUCUACUUUACUGGCAGUAACAAUUAGAAUUGGUCCAGGCUGUACAAAAGAGAAAUCCACAAAUACCAAUUGCAUGAGCAUCAUUUUCUCAUGAAACUUUUCUCGCAUCACAGAAGAUGAGUUAGGCAGACAGGGCUGGGAAGGGAGGCUCGUAGGUUCAUUAGCAACCCAGAUUUUGUCUAUCUGCAACUUUAGCUUGUCAUUUCUAUCCUCAAGGGCAUCAUAAGCUUUUAAAGCUCCAGCCAUUCUACCUGCCAUCCAAGCAGUGAGAAGAGGAGAGAGAGAGGAAGACAAAUAGGAGAAGAGCUUUCUAUACAGCAUUCCUGGAUGUCUCGUCCAACAUUUGUUGGAUGUUAUUGGAUGUUCCAUCAUACUUGUGGGCCAGGACUUAGUUAAAUGGCUACACCUUGCUACAAGGAAGUCUGGGAAAUACAGUCUUUCAGCUGGAUACAUCCCCCUGGCCUGAAUAAAAGCUGGGUUCUCUUACAAAGCACAAAAAGGGGAUUGAAUAUUGGUUAGGCACCUGUCAAUCUUUCAUAUCAGCCCACGUGAGAUAGCCAGGGUUUGGUGAAAUAAAAUGCUGUUUCUCCUCAAAACACUUCUCUCUUCCUGAUUGGGGAGGGACCCUGUUCUCUGCAGAGAAAUUCUUUCUCAUGACAGGGCCAACAUGUCUGCCAAAAGACAGCAAUAGGACUUCCCAAUCAUUCUAUAUAUUUAAGGGAGACUUUUUAAAAACUACAAUACGGUUGAACUCAUGUGAUUUUUUUUUUUGCCAUGAAGUUUCUUGUUAAGCAUUGAACAUUUAAAAGUAAAUUUUGACUAAUGUGAAAUAAAAGAAUGUUACUUGAAGCAACAAAAAAUGCUAAGUAUCAUUAGUCAUUAGGAAAUGCAAACUUUAAUGAGAUACCAUUAUAUACCUACUGAACUGGCUACAAUGAAAAAUACUGACUCUGGUAUUUUAAAAGAUUGUUUAUUAACAGUUGUCCAGGGGAGCAAUUGGAACCCAUGUCAUUGCUGGUGGAGAGACGAAAUUGUACAGCCAUUUUGGAAACCUGACUGGUGGUUUUAAAAGAUUAAACUCAUUCUUACCAUAUAACUCCAAAAUUCUGCUUCUAGGCAUUUAGUUCUUUCCACACAAAGUCUUGAACACCAGUGUCCAUAGCAGCCUCAAACUAGAAGAACAGGUGUGUCAGCAGGUGAAUGUGCAUCAACAGGAUAGCUGAGAAGUCCGUAUCAUUUUCAAUGCUACCAAUGGAUGACUGGAA
rnacentral:lncRNA from 1 species